GACGAACGCUGGCGGCGUGCCUAAUACAUGCGAGUAGAACGCUGAAGGAGGAGCUUGCUUCUCUGGAUGAUUUGCGAACGGGUGAGUAACGCGUAGGUAACCUGCCUGUUAGCGGGGGAGAACUAUUGGAAACGAUAGCUAAUACCGCAUAAUAGUAGAUGUCGCAUGACAUUUGCUUAAAAGGUGCAAUUGCAUCACUACCAGAUGGACCUGCGUUGUAUUAGCUAGUUGGUGAGGUAACGGCUCACCAAGGCAACGAUACAUAGCCGACCUGAGAGGGGGGUCGGCCACACUGGGACUGAGACACGGCCCAGACUCCUACGGGAGGCAGCAGGAGGGAAUCUUCGGCAAUGGACGGAAGUCUGAACGAGGAAAGCCGCGUGAGUGAAGAAGGUUUUCGGAUCGUAAAGCUCUGUUGUAAGAGAAGAACGAGUGUGAGAGUGGAAAGUUCACACUGUGACGGUAUCUUACCAGAAAGGGACGGCUAACUACGUG
rnacentral:rRNA from 1 species